GCUGCGCGUCACGUCCUCUUCACUAAACGUCCGUAGUCGCCUCCUCUUGAUGAACACGCAGUAGAAAAUAUUCUUGGUUGAAAUCCCACCAAAACCAUUCAACAGAGUGUAUUUUUCUUUGUAUUAUCAUUUAUUCAUGUAUUUUCAUUUUGGGACUUUUAUUUUGAAAGUCAGCUACGUUCCUUUUGUUGAUUUUACCAGAGAAUGUCUAAUAAGGGGAGAAGGACCACUAGCGAAAUACUUCCGCAUGGUACUGCAACUAGAGGGCGAUCGCGAGCAAGUGAUGAAUGAAUGGGUAGCAAUGGAGCUGAACCCCCCAGUACCACAUUUCUCGUUAUAUAAUUUUUUCUCCUAAAAUUGCAUUAAUGCAUGCGAUGCAGGAUAACUUGACUUGACAUUCAGCUGACCAAUACAAUUUUCAAUAUGUGUUGUUAUUCCUAAAAACCCUUUCAAAGUUUUCAUGUCACGUGACACAAGCGAACCACUUUACGGCCAUAGACCUAAAAGAAGGUUCAGCUUCACGACGGUCGUAAUCGGUCGCGAUUGUCGCGAGCAUCCAUGAGCUAAAUGCUAGCAUGUUACAGGGAAAACGGCCCAUCCUAUGAAAAGCAGAACGGACAUGAGUGACUUUUUAUUUCAUUUCCAGUGGAAAACCUAUACUCAGGUAGCUACUACGACAAUGUACAUUAAGAAAUGAAGUUGUCAACUGUGAAAAAAACUUUUAGCUCUCUUUAAAGUUCUAGCCGCUUAGCCCCAUAGACCACAAUUCAUUUAUCACUUGCUCGGCAACGCCCCUAGCGGAAUUUCAACAGAUUGCAGGAACAAUCCGGUACAAUGGAGUUAAUAGGAAGUGGACCGGCUCUCCCUAAAGGGGCUCUGAUUUUACCGUUCUCUCGUCAGUUGCUGUUAAACUUGACCGAGAGAGGUACGUACUAAAAUGGUUCGAGUGAAAUAAGAUUAUUUCAUAAAAUAAUGGACUUACUGAUAGGAACUUUCCUUAAUUAGAAAGUAGCAGUGUAUCUGUGUGGAUUAGCCUACCAUGUUUUCCAGCUGGGGGGUAAUUUUGAGACUUUGGGGGAGAACGAGCUAGCUAGCCUACGAAGUUUUCAUUCAGUGUGUAUGAUGCCGUGUGUAUGGAUGACGAUGUGCUCUGCUCCUUCUAUGUUUCAUUAUACACAGGUAUGUGCUAAUAAGGUGUACUGUAGUCCCAUGUUAUUUGUAUAUUCAUUCAGUAAGUCAGUUGCUGUUAAACUUGACCGAGAGAGGCAUUGUAUGGAUGACGAUGUGCUCUGCUCCUUCUAUGUUUCAUUAUACACAGAAUAAAUCUGUCAAUGGUC